rnacentral:rRNA from 1 species
GAUGAACGCUGGCGGCGUGCCUAAUACAUGCAAGUCGAGCGAACAGACGAGGAGCUUGCUCCUCUGACGUUAGCGGCGGACGGGUGAGUAACACGUGGAUAACCUACCUAUAAGACUGGGAUAACUUCGGGAAACCGGAGCUAAUACCGGAUAAUAUAUUGAACCGCAUGGUUCAAUAGUGAAAGACGGUUUUGCUGUCACUUAUAGAUGGAUCCGCGCCGCAUUAGCUAGUUGGUAAGGUAACGGCUUACCAAGGCAACGAUGUGUAGCCGACCUGAGAGGGUGAUCAGCCACACUGGAACUGAGACACGGUCCAGACUCCUACGGGAGGCAGCAGUGGGGAAUCUUGCGCAAUGGGCGAAAGCCUGACGGAGCAACGCCGCGUGAGUGAUGAAGGUCUUCGGAUCGUAAAACUCUGUUAGUAGGGAAGAAAAAAUGUGUAAGUAACUAUGCACGUCUUGACGGUACCUAAACAGAAAGCCACGGCUAACUACGUG